AAGCGCACUGCCUGCCUGCCUGCCUGCCUGCCUGCCUGCCUGCCUGCCUGCCUGCCUGCCUGCCUGCCUCGUUUGGCUCCUGUGCUACCACGUUUCUCUGGACAGGUGCUUCCAGAGCUGAGCAGCCCCCAUCUCGGGAUCCGACCGUCCGGUGCACGUCACGCGUCUAUUCGACGUGGUCUCGGUAUGCCAGAUCAAGGUGAAUCGCGCGUCAGUAGACACUUGUGUACUGGAUGGCCUCCUCUGUGCGGUGCCGCUGCUCUCUGCGAGUAAGCCUGAAGCGUCCGAGCAGCCACACGAAGAGCACUGGCGGCGCUCGUUCAAGAUUUCUCGUUUCCAGGGACGACGGCGACCGACGGGAUACCAAGCUCGACGGUCUUUGUGACGCUUGUGAAUCCGAAACCUGCGUCGAGCCACGAAACGCAUAUCCAACGGAUCCGGGCACAUGAAGGGAAAGGUCACGUGCCGUGCGUCGAUCCCCGCUGGGGGGAAAUCAUCACCGCCACCGAUUAUCUAUUGAAAGAUGGCGGAGGUCACAACCUGAACGGAAAGCGGAUGAACCUGUUCAACCUCUUCAAUCGCUCGGUAUGAGCGGCAGUCGGACGUGAUGGGCGCUAGAAGGCAUACGAACAGCAAGGGGAGCGGUGGCGGCAUCAGGACCCAAGUCGACGCUCCAGGCACCGUAUGGAGCCGAGGGUUAUGCUUCCUAUAAUUUAUUCCGAGCGUCCAUGAGCGACCAAAUGCAUCGUGUGGAGGGUCUUUGGUGGGCGUCCUUGGUACUACGCUGAGGUCGCAAACGGUGUCGCUUCUACAGAGGCGGGAAACUCGCAUUCACCGGCAUUAUCGGUGAAUUCCAAGCGAAAAUCCCCGGCAGGUCCAAUCGUUUCCUGGCGGCAGCCUAUGACGCUGGACGUUCAGAAGCGCGCAAAGGACGCGGACCUGCUCAUGCUUCGACGGGAGUGUCCAAUAAGCUCAGGUGCCUAUGCCGCACGCUUCCUGUCGGUGCGUUCAGCACGACGUACAUGCGCUACGAGUGCGGGUGCAUGCUGAAAAACCGACAGACAAGAACGGUGCGAAACAGAGCUGCAUGCGCGAGAUGGUGCACUGUCAGCCGCGCAAACGGCAGAUCACGAAGUAAUCAAAGCUGAGAAGCUCGCUAUGCUUACAUUUCUUCAAUAAGAGCGCUUACAUGCAUGUACUGUGUCUAUCGAGCGUUGGAAAAACCCCAUUCCAGAUCUCUGGGAACGAUCUCGUGCUUACAUUUCUUCAAUAAGAACACAUGCAUGUACUGUGUCUAUCGAGCGUUGGAAAAACCCCCAUUCCAGAUCUCUGGGAACGAUCUCGUGCUUACAUUUCUUCAAUAAGAACACAUGCAUGUACUGUGUCUAUCGAGCGUUGGAAAACCCCCAUUCGAGAUCUCUGGGAACGAUCUCGUGCUUACAUUUCUUCAAUAAGAACACAUGCAUGUACUGUGUCUAUCGAGCGUUGGAAAGCUCCCAUUCCAGAUCUCUGGGAACGAUCUCGUGCUUACAUUUCUUCAAUAAGAACACAUGCAUGUACUGUGUCUAUCGAGCGUUGGAAAACCCCCAUUCGAGAUCUCUGGGAACGAUCUCAUGAUUUCGGAGCGUCCAGUGGCUUUAUGUGUCGCGCGAUCAUUCAGGUAAAUCGUGUCGUACAC